AAGCCUAUAAUUUAAUGGUUAGAAUGAUUUCUUGAUAAGGAAUUAGAAGAAGUUCAAAUCUUCUUGGGCUUA
rnacentral:tRNA from 1 species